AAUCGCGGUGCGACGGAGUAGCUUGUGGGAGAUUGUUGGGUAUUUGACUAGCCCUUUCUCUGCCUGCUUGUGUGAGCUUCAGCAGAAUUUGAAAUGGCUGGCGGUAAGGCUGGGAAAGACUCCGGAAAGGCCAAGACAAAGGCGGUUUCCCGCUCGCAGAGAGCUGGCUUGCAGUUCCCAGUGGGCCAUAUUCAUCGACACCCGAAAUCUAGGAUGACUAGCCAUGGGCGUGUGGGCGCGACCGACUGCCGCUGAGUACAGCGCAGCCAUCCUGGAGUACCUCACCGCAGAGGUACUUGAAUUGGCAGGAAAUGCAUCAAAAGACUUAAAGGUGAAACGUAUAACACCUCGUCACUUGCAACUUGCUAUUCGAGGAGAUAAAGAAUUGAACUCUCUUAUCAAGGCGACAAUUGCUGGCGGUGGUGUCAUUCCGCAUAUCCACAAAUCUCUGAUUGGGAAGAAAGGACAACAGAAGACUGUCUAA